rnacentral:snoRNA from 14 species
CGCGAUGAUGAAGCCUCGAUUGGCUGAAUCGCGAUGAUUGGGAGGGACUUGGCCGAGC